rnacentral:misc_RNA from 1 species
UGCUGUGACUGCUUAUGCA